GCUCUCAGGUAUAUAUUUAAAUAUAUGGUUUCCGUUGCCAUUUAAAAUAGAAUUCAUAUUCUCAGUUUCUCUCACAAAUGAGUCAUUUGUGUUUGGUUCAACUUCAUUUGCUUAAACCACCGUUGAGUCAUGUGAACAUGAAUAUGCAUAAAGGAACAUGGGUAUGUAAUCUUUCCCAAUAUUGUUAUUUUAUUUGAGUGUCCUCCAUCAUUUUUCAAUUCAUUAUUGGCAAUGACAAUAUUAACGGUUUGGUGAAACUCUGUGUGUGAUAUUGCAAGACUUUCAGCUUUGCACCAAAAGUCUAUAUUUCUGAAGUAAACUGACAUGAAAGAAAACCGAGUAAUGAACCAAUAUUUGGAAAAGGUUCAUCGCAAUUGGAACUCUAAAAUGUCCGAGAGACCCUAUAUAGUUCCAUCGUCAGGCUUCCCUUUUUUUUCAAGAAUUCAAAAAGUUUCCAUAUGGCGGAAGGGGUGUAACACUUAUGAAGUUAUUUGAGUACCCAAACCUAUAAUCACGCGGUCAGUCGUCACCGUUUCUAAGUUUCAACAGCGCGGUAAACCUACUUUGGGUCAGCUUACGUUCCAUUACAUGCCAGUUAAGUUCAAGUGAGUUACUCUUCAUUGACUGGGGAAAGCUGUAUCUUUCUUUGAGCAAGAGUGAGCUUGCGUUCCAUUCGUCUCUCAUGUUAGUUAUGGAGAUUCUGAAAUGGAGUGAGGAGAGAACAAACAUUUGCGUGAGUUAUACUCUGUGUACAGCACUGAUUCAAGUUCAUCUCAAAUCAAUGUAUUAACUUUAAAAAAAAGUCUAAUGCACAUAGUGACCACUAUCUGGAGUAGAGAUUCCUACACAUUGGUUUUAAUUGAUUGAGAUUCAGUUCA